rnacentral:tRNA from 1 species
GCACGGUGGCGCAGUGGGUAGCACUGUUGCUUCACAGCAAGAAGGUCCUGGGUUCAAGCCCCACACCGGCG